rnacentral:rRNA from 1 species
GAGUUUGAUCGUGGCUCAGAUUGAACGCUGGCGGCACGCCUUACACAUGCAAGUCGAACGGCAGCAUGAUCUAGCUUGCUAGAUUGAUGGCGAGUGGCGAACGGGUGAGUAAUACAUCGGAACGUGCCCUGUAGUGGGGGAUAACUAGUCGAAAGAUUAGCUAAUACCGCAUACGACCUGAGGGUGAAAGUGGGGGACCGCAAGGCCUCAUGCUAUAGGAGCGGCCGAUGUCUGAUUAGCUAGUUGGUGGGGUAAAGGCCCACCAAGGCGACGAUCAGUAGCUGGUCUGAGAGGACGAUCAGCCACACUGGGACUGAGACACGGCCCAGACUCCUACGGAGGCAGCAGUGGGGAAUUUUGGACAAUGGGCGAAAGCCUGAUCCAGCAAUGCCGCGUGUGUGAGAAGG